UUCAAACAGGAGCUUUUAGCCCUUUCGUCUUCUUCGUCUUUCCUUCUUCGCCAAAACCGUGGAGAUCUCCAGCCUUUGCAUUUUGGGCACUGCGAUUUCGCAUUCGAUCUUCUUCGUUCGAUCUCUGUUCAUGGAAGAUAACGGUGUCAGGAGAACUGAGAUCGAGAUCCUUGGGCUCAGUCUUAUCGACGUCUCCUCCGAAGACGAUAGCCUCCUCUUUUCGUCGAUCCUCGAUCCCGGCAGCAACGAAUUUUUGGAGACUGAUAAGGAUGACAAAGUUCUUGGUUUCCUGAGAGAUGAACCUGAUUAUGAUGAAGAGAUUCCAGUCUCUACCUUAGAAGAGAAAGAACAGGUGCUUCAACCUCAUGAAUCACCCGAACCUGAGAAGUUGUUGAAAAGUGGAAAAUGUAACUUGCGCAAAAGUCUUGCCUGGGACAAUGCCUUCUUCACGAGUGCAGGUGUCCUUGAGCCUGAGGAACUGUCCAGCAUGAUAGAAAGCAAUCACAAGGGUGAAAGGCAAAAUUUGUCAACCAUCCAAGAGGAUCUGCAAAGGUCAACAGAAUCCAUAUCUACAUUUCAAAGUGAUUGCACUGUGGAGAACAGUCAGGAGUUUGUUUUCUUUGAAGAUUUAAGAGAAUCGAUCCAACGUUCGGCUAAAGCAUCUGGUGCUUCCACACCAGACAAAAGCAAAGAACUAGUGGCAAUUGAAGCAGCAACUGGCCGAACUUCAUGUAUGGCGAAGGGCCCUCUCUCUCAGGAAAAGAUGAAACCCAAAGGAAGUCAUAAGAAGCAAAGUGUUCGGGCACAAGGUUUGGCGAAGACAACAACAAAGCAGCCUGUUGUUGCCGCGAGAGGAUUGAAUACAUCGGUCCCCAAGGUAUUCGAUAAAGUCAGGCCCAUGCCAACAACAUCAAUGAAGAGAGCCUCCUUAGAUGUUAACAAAACCAAACACGAAAAGGAUUCAAAGUUAGCUGGGGGUAAACAUCACCUAGGUUCCAGAAUAUCCAUUUCUGCAAGUGCUAGACCCGUAGUAGUGUCUUCUAAAUCUUCUUUACGUUCUUCGGUUGCCUCUACAAAUGAAUUGGCAUCUUCUUGCUCUUCAUUAGAGAGCUGUGCUGGUGCUAGUGCUUCAUCUAGCUUUUCUCAAAAAUCUUCCAUAAAUUUGGUACGGAAGAAGAAUGAUUUGAGUUCUUUAGCAAAUAGAACCAGACCUAAAGCUGCACCUAGAAAUGUGACGCAGCCUAGAGUUCCACCCCUCUCAACUAAGGGAACGUCCAAGUCCAAGCUUUCGCCUAAUGUAUCACCUGCUAGCUCUUUUAGUGACCGGUCAUCGGAAUCAUCACGAGCUUCUACACCAAAUAAAAUGCCUAAAGGCAUCCAGAGAACCGUCUCUGGUGCAAAGGGCUCUGCAAGCAGCGAUAGACCGCAAAGUUUGAAGCGUCAUGACAAUUCUAAGGAUGAAUCUUUUGCCCGAUGUGACUGUAAGGUGGAUGAAAUCAUCCAUGAAGGUACAGAACGAGUUUCAGAAGGUAAUGGUGGUUUGCUUCAUCCAGCUUCAAUGAAGCCGUCGGGCCUCCGUGUGCCAUCACCAAAAAUCGGCUUCUUUGAUGGAGUGAGAAGUGUUGCAAGGACUCACACGGGAAACAUUCAACCCCGUUCAAGUGUGUUAAGCAGAUUGUCCAAGCAUGGAGUUAAUACUCCGAAUGGAUCAGAGGCCAAAACAAAGUAUGAAAAGCUUCAGCCUGCAAGUGCAAGGUCUCCUUUACAAGAAUCUUCAAACCCUAAAACAAAGACCAGUGGCGUUUCCAGGAGUCUCAGGGUCGUGUCUGUCUCAUCACCAAAGGCACAGAAGAAAAUGUAUUCGAAAAUUAGUGCAGAAGAGCAAUUGAAAGGUGAGGCCGAUAAUGAAGAAAAAAGUGCAGGAGAGAAUAGUUCAUCAUGGGUAAUGCAUAAAGAAGGCCGCAGAAAGCAGAGCAGCACUGGUCUUGCGGAAGAAACAGUGAAAGCAAGUCCUGUUAAUGGAAAACCCAAUUCCUCUUUUGAUCAGAAUUCUGCUUCCGGCGAUGAGAACACAAUCUCAUCAUGUAUUGAGUUACCUGAAGAGGGAGAAAUUUCAGACAAGCAGAGUGACAAAUCAGCAAAACCGGCCAGAGACAUGGGGUCGGUCUGGACAUUAGAGAUGGAAAAUGAGUUUACUGGAACGCUUCUGAACUGAAAGCAGCAACCGGAGAAGAUGGGUCAGAUGAUAUAACAGCAUCUCUUAAAGGAAGAAGAAAAACAAUCUUUGUUCUAUAUAUAUAUAUAUAUAUAUCCGAAAACCAAAAAAUGAAAAAAUGUCAAAGCUCUAUGGAACUUGACCGGACAAGGGACAACUAUGGAUCUCAUGGAGAGUUAGAUCCUUGUGUGUAGAGUUUCGUUCUCUGGUAUGAAUCUUGCUGUAGGGUAAUAGUUCAUAACUUCCGUACAUUGGAAUAUAACUGUGCUAUAUACAUAUAUGUAUGUAUAUAUGUAUGUAUGUAUGUAUAGGGCAGGGACUAGAAGAUCACAGGCCAACAACUUGUCCAGGUUUUUGUGAUUUGCCAUUUGAGUUCAUGUCUCUGUCUGGAAACGUAAUCUCUCCUUUGCAUUUGUGUAGUUCAGCCUCUGCGUA